UUAUUAAUAUAAAGCAUUUAAUGACAAACUUCAAUACAUGCCAAAAUCCGUGAAAAGCCCCUUUAAUAUGAGAUAUCUUCCACUGUGCUGUAAUGUGCGCCACGCCUUAAUGUGAGAUAGUCAUGUAUCUGCCACUGUGUUGUAAUGUGCACCACGCCUUAAUGUGAGAUAGUCAUGUAUCUGCCACUGUGUUAUAACGUGCGCCCCGCCUUAAUGUGAGGUAGUCAUGUAUCUGCCACUGUGUUGUAAUGUGCGCCACGCCUUAAUGUGAGAUAGUCAUGUAUAUGACACUGUGUUGUAAUGUAUGACAUGCCUAAAUGUGAGAUAGUCAUGUAUCUGCCACUGUGUUGUAAUGUGCGCCCCGCCUUAAUAUGAGCUAGUCAUGUAUCUGCCACUGUGUUGUAAUGUGCACCACGCCUUAAUGUGAGAUAAUCAUGUAUCUGACACUGUGUUGUAAUGUAUGGCAUGCCUAAAUGUGAGAUAGUCAUGUAUCUGACACUGAGUUGUAAUGUGCUCCCCGCCUUAAUGGGAACUAGUCAUGUAUAUGCCACUCUGUUGUAAUAUGCGCCACGCCUUUAUGUGAGAUAGUUAUGUAUCUGAGACUAUGUUGUAAUGUGCGCAUGCCUUAAUGUGAGAUAGCCAUGUAUCUGAUACUGUGUUGUUGUGUGCACCAUGCCUUAAAGUGAGAUAGUCAUGUAUCUGUCACUAUGUUGUAAUGUGCGCCAUGCCUUAAAGUGAGAUUGUCAUGUAUAUGACACUGUGUUAUAAUGUGCGCCAAGGGUUUAUGUGAGAAAGCCGUGUAUCUGACACUUUGAUGUAAUUUGCGCCAUUGCUUAAUGUGAGAUAGUCGUGUAUCUGAUGCUUCGUUUUAUGUCCGCCAUGCCUUAAUAUGUGAUCGUCGUGUACGUGAAACUAUAUUGUAAUGUGAGUGUCGUGUAUAUAGCUGCAUGGUAAUCUACGACGUUGCUGAAUGUAUGAUAGGCGUAUCUGUGUUGUAAUGCACACCAUCGCUUAAUAUGCGAUUGUCGUGUCAGUUACACUAAGUUGUAAUGCACGUAAUGCAUGUAAUGUGUGAUAGUCGGAAUCUGACACUAUAUUCGGUUCAGUUGCAAAUACGUUUAUUGUUGAAUUCAAAGUAAAAUUAAUGUUCACGUCGAAUAGUCAGUACGUUUAAUUACACAAUUAAAAUCUUGUUGAGAGGCGUAACGAUGUGUUAAUAUAAUAUAUGUAUGUUUAUAAUGUGAUCAGGUUGCAUGUUAGUAAAAUUAAACGUUAAAUCUU